CCAACUCACACGUUAGUGUUCAAACAAAACAGGUCUAACCAGGUAAUGCCUGUGUCUCAAGAACAGAGAGACAACCUGUUAAUGGAUGAGGAAUUGAUUUGGUGGUGACUGUUCUUUUCAGCUCAGAGGCUGUUUCAGGUGAAAAGCACCCUGCUCACCAAAGACACCAUCGGGAAGAGGGAAUGUAAAAGCAAAGUGAGUAGAAGUCCAAAUCUGGAGGAGAUGAUGGUAUGGAGGGGCCCUCUUGAGCACCUGUCUCAUUUAUUAGUCUGUAUUUAGUCCACCCUGCUUUGGCAUCAAGAUCUUUUCCCUAGCUCUAUAAGUACCAGGCUCUGAAGGGGCUCCCAGCAAGUUCCCUCUCCAGGCACCAUGACUGCCUUCUUGACAGAGACUCUUGGCAAUUCAAUGGACUUUGAAAAGCCUAUCUCCCCUGGCCCCAGGUUUAUUGACACUCCCUAUAAGAGUUAGAGAUGAGAAGACCAAAAUGCUGAAACUGGAAAUAAAAAAGCACAGUUUGGACAAGAAGAAGGUGGAAUAUUAGGGAGGAUCUACGGAUUCAAAUACCCAGGCAACCUCUAUUCCCUUGGGCCAAGGGACAUAUGGGGAGUUACCUGUACCUGCUUCACUGGGUCACAAAUGUACCUUCUCCCAUACGGGUGAAUGACUGCUCCUAGCAAAGAAAAAUACCAUCCCCCAACCAUUAACUUUCUCUGUUGAACCUUCCAGGACACUGGCCUGGCAUGAGCAAAGUGUCUAAGCAGAUUUCUUUGACUCAACGGGCCUCCCUUUUGUGGGAGAGGGAAGGGAAGUUGAGAUUUGGCAGAGAUAAAGAUUUUGUGAUCAAAACCAAGAAGUUACUUGUGUUAAAAAGAAAAAAAAAGGUCUGCUUAUGGUCAAAGGCUGACUGAAUAGAAUAAAAACUGGUUAUUAUAUUAAGGGGGAACAGUGAGUGUGCAGUAGUAUUAGUCUUUUCUUACUUAUUUUUUCUAGUUUCUACACAAAUUCAGAGGUUUCUGAAAGUGUAAAAGACUCAGUGGGAAAACAAGGGUGGACUUGGGAAGGUCUUGGAAGCUGGGCAGGUCUUGAAGAAGGGCUUGAGGCUUUGGUCAGUGCAGUUUAGGGGAGUUCUAAUAAAUCCCUCUGCCUCCCUAACCUGCCCCAGACAUUCCCACCCUUCCCAACUGUUCAACCCUGUGAACUUGCCAAGGGCCCUGUGAAAAUGCAAAUGUAAACCCCGCCCCAUAUACACACUGAUAAAAACAACAAAUUUCAUUAUUUCCCAUUAUCACAUUAGCCCCAAUUAGUCUAUCAGUUCCAGAUCUGAGAGCAGGGCCCUGAGGGAAUGGCCUGCUGGAGUUUUGCUUGAGAGACAAAUCAGGCACAACCUGAAGUAACUACAUUCCACCCACUGCAGGGCAUUUGUGUGUAGUGAUGGUGAAGGGGGGUGGGUGGCGGGGCACUCAUGAGAAAAGGGAAGCAUUAUUGCUAGAGCCCGUGGGACUCCAGGGAAACAAACUUGGCCUUCUUUACACCAUUGCCUGAGAUUAACCUGAGACAGCAGGGUGGGAGUAGAAGGGCUAGGGUUGUGUGGUCAAGAGAUAGUGAACUUCAAAUGCAACCACAAAAGUGAUGUGGCUCUCUGACCCAGUCCCAAUCACCUUUAAUUAUAGGCCCUGUAAUUUAUAGCUGAAGAAUUCUGGUUAAAUCUCCAUUUCUUUAUCCACUUGUAUUUAGUCCAUUUUAGAUUGGAGGGCUAUUGAGACGAGUCAUAUUGGGGUAGUGAUGGUGGGAGGGGAGGGAAAGAUGUCACCUCAUACUCACAAGCCACUUUAUUUGUGGAGGUUUUUUUGUAAAUAAAGUACCU
rnacentral:lncRNA from 1 species